GAUGGACGCUGGCGGCGUGCCUAAUACAUGCAAGUCGAGCGAACAGACGAGGAGCUUGCUCCUUUGACGUUAGCGGCGGACGGGUGAGUAACACGCGGGUAACCUACCUAUAAGACUGGGAUAACUUCGGGAAACCGGAGCUAAUACCGGAUAAUAUUUCGAACCGCAUGGUUCGAUAGUGAAAGAUGGCUUUGCUAUCACUUAUAGAUGGACCUGCGCCGUAUUAGCUAGUUGGUAAGGUAACGGCUUACCAAGGCAACGAUACGUAGCCGACCUGGGAGGGUGAUCGGCCAAACUGGAACUGAGACACGGUCCAGACUCCUACGAGAGGCAGCAGUAGGGAAUCUUCCGCAAUGGGCGAAAGCCUGACGGAGCAACGCCGCGUGAGUGAUGAAGGUCUUCGGAUCGUAAAACUCUGUUAUUAGGGAAGAACAAACGUGUAAGUAACUGUGCACGUCUUGACGGUACCUAAUCAGAAAGCCACGGCUAACUACGUGCCAGCCGCCGCCGUAA
rnacentral:rRNA from 1 species